rnacentral:rRNA from 1 species
UAAAACGUAGGAGGCGAGCGUUAUCCGGAUUUACUGGGUGUAAAGCGCGUGCAGGCGGUUUGAUAAGUUGGGUGUGAAAGCUCCUGGCUCAACUGGGAGAGGUCGCUCAAGACUGUCAGACUAGAGCGUGGUAGGGGAAGGCGGAAUUCCGGGUGUAGUGGUGAAAUGCGUAGAUAUCCGGAGGAACACCAGUGGCGAAAGCGGCCUUCUGGACCACGACUGACGCUCAGACGCGAAAGCUAGGGGAGCAAACGGG